AUUGAACGCUGGCGGCAUGCCUUACACAUGCAAGUCGAACGGCAGCACGGGAGCAAUCCUGGUGGCGAGUGGCGAACGGGUGAGUAAUAUAUCGGAACGUGCCCAGUAGUGGGGGAUAGCCCGGCGAAAGCCGGAUUAAUACCGCAUGAGACCUGAGGGUGAAAGCGGGGGAUCGCAAGACCUCGCGCUAUUGGAGCGGCCGAUAUCAGAUUAGCUAGUUGGUGGGGGAAAGGCCUACCAAGGCAACGAUCUGUAGUUGGUCUGAGAGGACGACCAGCCACACUGGGACUGAGACACGGCCCAGACUCCUACGGGAGGCAGCAGUGGGGAAUUUUGGACAAUGGGCGCAAGCCUGAUCCAGCAAUGCCGCGUGCAGGAAGAAGGCCUUCGGGUUGUAAACUGCUUUUGUCAGGGAAGAAAUCCUCUGGGUUAAUACCUCGGGGGGAUGACGGUACCUGAAGAAUAAGCACCGGCUAACUACGUGCCAGCCGCCGCUGUAA
rnacentral:rRNA from 1 species